UUGGAAAAGCCAGCCAUCAAUGUUUACAAAGCAUCCUGCUGGAAAUAUUAUGUUGAGCUUUGGCAUAAUGGCAUCAGGAGCAAAGAUUAACCAAACUUUACUUAUGUUUAAGCAUAUGGGACUCUCUGCUAUUUCACCUCGAACCUACUAUUACCACCAGAAGAGGUUUCAUUUUCCUUCACUGUUGCGCCAUUGGGAAAUUUACCAGGCCUCUCUUCUUGGC